UGUGGGAGCUGGCUUGCCUGCGAUGCAAGCAACUCGGUCUAUCAGUUACACCGAGGUGAUGCCUUCGCAGGCAAGCCAGCUCCCACA
rnacentral:misc_RNA from 1 species